rnacentral:RNase_P_RNA from 1 species
GCAGUGUGUCGGCUUGUCGCUGGCGUGUCUCUCGGGGCACGCGAGAGGAAAGUCCGGGCAGCAUAAGGCGCUCCACUGGCGAAAAUACCAGUUGUCGGCGACGGCAAGUGACGGUAGAAGAAAACAACCGCCCGUCUUCUUCCGAGGCGGGUAAGGGUGAGAAGGUGGUGUAAGAGACCACCGGCCGCCGGGCGAUCGGCGGGCCGUACCGGCUGGAGGCUGCAAGUUCGCGUAUACCAUCGACAGAGGGUAGCCUGCCCGAGGGGUUGGGGCACCUGUUGCUUCAGCCUGCGAUGGAGGGUAGAACGCUGGAGCCGUAGGGCAACCUGCGGUGUAGAUAAAUGACAAGCACCGCCACAAGGGGCAAUCCCUGUGGCGGUACAGAACCCGGCUUACAGACACACUGCAAGC